rnacentral:rRNA from 1 species
AGCAGCCGCGGUAAUUCCAGCUCCAAUAGCGUAUAUUAAAGUUGUUGCAGUUAAAAAGCUCGUAGUUGAAUUUCGGGGUUAGUAAGUUGGUCGUGCCACUGGUAUGUACUGGCUUUACUGAUUCCUCCUUCUUGUAGAACCGUAAUGCCAUUAAGUUGGUGUUGCGGGGAAACAGGACUGUUACUUUGAAAAAAUUAGAGUGUUUAAAGCAAGCUAACGCUUGAAUACAUUAGCAUGGAAUAAUGAAAUAGGACGUUCGAUCCUAUUUUGUUGGUUUCUAGGAUUGACGUAAUGAUUAAUAGGGAUAGUUGGGGGCAUUAGUAUUCAAUUGUCAGAGGUGAAAUUCUUGGAUUUAUUGAAGACUAACUACUGCGAAAGCAUUUGCCAAGGAUGUUUUCAUUAAUCUAAGAACGAAAGUUAAGGGGAGUCGAAGACGAUCAGAUACCGUCGUAGUCUUAACCAUAAACUAAUGCCGACUAGGGAGUCGGAUGAUGUUAAUUUUUAUUAAUUGACUUCCAUU